AACGAACGCUGGCGGCAUGCCUAACACAUGCAAGUCGAACGAACCCUUCGGGGUUAGUGGCGCACGGGUGCGUAACGCGUGGGAACCUGCCUUUAGGUUCGGAAUAACUCAGAGAAAUUUGAGCUAAUACCGGAUGAUGUCUUCGGACCAAAGAUUUAUCGCCUUUAGAUGGGCCCGCGUUAGAUUAGAUAGUUGGUGGGGUAAUGGCCUACCAAGUCGACGAUCUAUAGCUGGUCUGAGAGGAUGAUCAGCCACACUGGGACUGAGACACGGCCCAGACUCCUACGGGAGGCAGCAGUGGGGAAUAUUGGACAAUGGGCGAAAGCCUGAUCCAGCAAUGCCGCGUGAGUGAUGAAGGCCUUAGGGUUGUAAAGCUCUUUUACCAGGGAUGAUAAUGACAGUAC
rnacentral:rRNA from 1 species